UUUCUGGAGGUCCCUCCUUGUGGAGUUUUCCAGCAAGCCCAGGAAAAGGGUUUUGUGCCUCAUUCAAAUGUGAGAAUGCUGAAAGUGGCACGCAACCUUCUGUGCCACAGCCUGCAUUGCUGCUGGCUUCCCUACAUUCCUCUCGCCCAGAAAAGUCUGAAGCAGUGACAAGUUUUCUGACAUGGAACACCUUGGAAUUCCCUCUUUUAUUUCCUGAUUUCUGUGCCUGAACUGCUAUUGCACAUGCUCCUUUUUUCAUACUCCUUUUAGAUGAUUUCUAGUUUUGGAGGGAUGCUCAGUUCAAAUACUUCUGACUACAUGAUACUCUUUAGAUGUGGUUUAAGAGACUCUUCUUCCUCUGAAGUUCCUGUAUGCAAAGAAACAGACACUGAUGAAUGGAAAAUUAAUAGACAGAGCAGAGAUCACAGUGAUGGAACUUAAGUUACAGUGAACUCAUUUUGUCACGUGGUGAUGUGAAGGCAUCCCUCAGCUUGCUCUUCUUGCACUUGCAGCAAGCCAGUCAACAGCUCUGCAACUUGGUCACCGAUCUGCAGCUAUUAACUCCUGCUGGGAGUUAAAUAGUAUUGACCUGGGCUCAGCAGUCUGCCAUACAAACAUACACUGGUUGGGUAUGAUCACUUGCUAUUGUUCAUUUUAAAGUGGUCUCUUGUUAAAUACACUUAAAACA